GGGUUAGUAGGUUGGUCAUGCCUCUGGUAUGCACUGGUCUCACUGAUUCCUCCUUCCUGAUGAGCCGUAAUGCCAUUAAUUUGGUGUUGCGGGGAAUUUGGACAGUUACUUUGAAAAAAUUAGAGUGUUUAAAGCAGGCUUACGCUUGAAUACAUUAGCAUGGAAUAAUGAAAUAGGACGUUUUGAUUCUAUUUUGUUGGUUUCUAGGAUCGACGUA
rnacentral:rRNA from 1 species